ensembl:miRNA
GCCAGUGUCCCGGGCCCUCCGCUCCCGGCCCGCGCCGAGCCCCUCGCACAAACCGGACCUGAACGUUUUGUUCGUUCGGCUCGCGUGAGGCGGAGGCGGCCU